ACUUGUUGGUAAGGGUAUGGCUUACCAAGGUUGCAACGGGUAACGGGGAAUCAGGGUUCGAUUCCGGAGAGGGAGCCUGAGAAACGGCUACCACAUCCAAGGAAGGCAACAGGCGCGCAAAUUACCCAAUCUAGACAGUAGGAGGUGGUGAAGAGAAUUACUAAGUGGUGGUUCAAUGAACUACCAACUUGGAAUGGACGUAACUUAAGCAAUUCGUUGAGAAACAACUGGAGGGCAAGUCCUGGUGCCAGCAGCCGCGGUAAUUCCAGCUCCAGUAGUUUGCUUUAAAGUUGUUGCGUUUAAAACGCUCGUAGUUGGAUCACGCAACGGUGUACGGUAAUCUAUUCGUUUGAUUAGAAUGUUCGCAGUGUGAAUCGAAAGAUUAGACUCGGGCUCUGAACUGCGAUAGAUAUAAAAGCUGACCACCGUUAAUUGCACGUGAGAUGGAUUGUUGACCUUUAGUGUGUCGGUAAUCCUGUCUUGCGGAGUGUGCCUUGAAUAAAACAGAGUGCUUAAAGCAGGUUUACGCCUGAAUGUUAUAGCAUGGAACGAACAAUAGUGAUCACGUGCGUGAUUUUUAAUAACGAUAGGCCUCUGGUUUGUUGUUGUUGGAGUCGCGUACAUCACCCACCAAAAUAUGGCUGUUGGUUCCAUAUACGGUGAUGAUUAAAAGGAGCGGUUGGGGGCAUCGGUAUUUGGCCGCGAGAGGUGAAAUUCUUGGACCGGCCAAGGACUAACAAAUGCAAAGGCACUUGUCUAGACCGUUUCCAUUAAUCAAGAACGAAAGUGGGAGGUUCGAAGACGAUCAGAUACCGUCCUAGUUCCCACUGUAAACUAUGCCGACCUGGGAUCAGUUUAGAGAUGCUACAAGCUCUAAAUUGGUCCCCCUGGGAAACCUCAAGUUUUUCGGUUACGGGGAGAGUAUGGUCGCAAGGCUGAAACUUAAAGGAAUUGACGGAAGGGCACCACCAGGGGUGGAGCCUGCGGCUUAAUUUGACUCAACACGGGGAAACUUACCUGGUCCGGACAUCGAUAGGAUACACAGACUGAUAGAUCUUUGUUGAUGCGAUGAGUGGUGGUGCAUGGCCGUUCUUAGUUCGUGGAGUGAUCUGUCAGCUUAAUUGCGGUAACGAACGAGACCACAGUCUCCAUUUAUGAAAUAGAAAAAGACAGCUUAUUGUUCGGGACUUGUCCUGUUCAGUAGGCUGUUGCUGGCUAGAAGUGCGAUCGUAUGGCGACGUUUUUGAGGAGCAAUCUGAUAAGGCGAAGUUGUGCGGUUGAGCUUUUUCCUUUCUAUCAAGCAGUAAUUGGUUUCUAUCAGUUGCUGCCAUAUGGAGAGACAACGAGGUAUAAACAAGCU
rnacentral:rRNA from 1 species